AGAGUUUGAUCCUGGCUCAGGAUGAACGCUAGCGGCAGGCUUAACACAUGCAAGUCGAGGGGCAGCGGGGGAGCGGCGACGCUCCUGCCGGCGACCGGCGCACGGGUGAGUAACGCGUAUGCGACCUGCCCCCCGCAGGGGGAUAACCGGGAGAAAUCCCGACUAAUACCCCAUAUUCCCUGGGGCUGCAUGGCUCUGGGGCGAAAGGGCUACCGGCGGGGGAUGGGCAUGCGUGGCAUUAGGAAGUUGGCGGGGCAACGGCCCACCAAUCCAUCGAUGCCUAGGGGUUCUGAGAGGAAGGUCCCCCACACUGGCACUGAGACACGGGCCAGACUCCUACGGGAGGCAGCAGUGAGGAAUAUUGGUCAAUGGGCGGGAGCCUGAACCAGCCAAGUAGCGUGAAGGAUGACGGCCCUACGGGUUGUAAACUUCUUUUGUGCGGGAAUAAAGGAGCCUACGUGUAGGUUUUUGCAUGUACCGUAACGAAUAAGCAUCGGCUAACUCCGUGCCAGCAGCCGCGGUAAUACGGAGGAUGCGAGCGUUAUCCGGAUUUAUUGGGUUUAAAGGGUGCGCAGGCGGCCCGUUCAAGUCGGCGGUGAAACAUCGGGGCUCAACCCCGCGCAGCCGUCGAAACUGAGGGGCUUGCGUCCGGCGGAGGCAUGCGGAAUGCGUCGUGUAGCGGUGAAAUGCAUAGAUAUGACGCAGAACUCCGAUUGCGAAGGCAGCAUGCCGCGCCGGCACGGACGCUGAGGCACGAAAGCGUGGGGAUCGAACAGGAUUAGAUACCCUGGUAGUCCACGCAGUAAACGAUGAAUACCGGCCGUCCGCGGGGGAACCCGUGGGUGGCGUAGCGAAAGCGUUAAGUAUUCCACCUGGGGAGUACGCCGGCAACGGUGAAACUCAAAGGAAUUGACGGGGGCCCGCACAAGCGGAGGAACAUGUGGUUUAAUUCGAUGAUACGCGAGGAACCUUACCCGGGCUUGAAUUGCAGAGGAAGGAUUUGGAGACAAUGACGCCCUUCGGGGUCUCUGUGAAGGUGCUGCAUGGUUGUCGUCAGCUCGUGCCGUGAGGUGUCGGCUUAAGU
rnacentral:rRNA from 1 species